rnacentral:rRNA from 1 species
AGUGAACGCUGGCGGUAGGCCUAACACAUGCAAGUCGAACGGCAGCACAGUAAGAGCUUGCUCUUACGGGUGGCGAGUGGCGGACGGGUGAGGAAUACAUCGGAAUCUACUUUUUCGCGGGGGAUAACGUAGGGAAACUUACGCUAAUACCGCAUACGACCUACGGGUGAAAGCAGGGGAUCUUCGGACCUUGCGCGAUUGAAUGAGCCGAUGUCGGAUUAGCUAGUUGGCGGGGUAAAGGCCCACCAAGGCGACGAUCCGUAGCUGGUCUGAGAGGAUGAUCAGCCACACUGGAACUGAGACACGGUCCAGACUCCUACGGGAGGCAGCAGUGGGGAAUAUUGGACAAUGGGCGCAAGCCUGAUCCAGCCAUACCGCGUGGGUGAAGAAGGCCUUCGGGUUGUAAAGCCCUUUUGUUGGGAAAGAAAAGCAGCAGGUUAAUACCCCGCCGUUCUGACGGUACCCAAAGAAUAAGCACCGGCUAACUUCGUG